CCUACGGGGGGCAGCAGUGGGGAAUAUUGGGCAAUGGGCGCAAGCCUGACCCAGCAAUGCCGCGUGGGUGAAGAAGGUCUUCGGAUUGUAAAGCCCUUUCGGCGGGGACGAUGGUGACGGUACCCGCAGAAGAAGCCCCGGCCAACUUCGUGCCAGCAGCCGCGGUAAUACGAAGGGGGCUAGCGUUGCUCGGAAUCACUGGGCGUAAAGGGCGCGUAGGCGGCGGACUUAGUCGGGCGUGAAAUCCCCGGGCUCAACCCGGGGGCUGCGCCCGAUACGGGUGCGCUUGAGGACGGGAGAGGCUCGCGGAAUUCCCAGUGUAGAGGUGAAAUUCGUAGAUAUUGGGAAGAACACCGGUGGCGAAGGCGGCGAGCUGGCCCGUUUCUGACGCUGAGGCGCGAUAGCGUGGGGAGCAAACAGGAUUAGAUACCCCAGUAGUC
rnacentral:rRNA from 1 species